rnacentral:lncRNA from 1 species
AUAGAGAUUCUGACAACAAGUCUGAACAAGUCUUGGACACGUGCACAAACAUGUGUUUUGUGACUGAGGUUUAAUUUUUGUUAUUAACGAAUGGAUUGGGACCUCAUCUUCAAGAUCAUAGCGAAAGACUGCCACACAUGCCUUAAAGGAAAAAUGAAAAAAAAAAAAAAAAAAAAAAAAAAAAAAAAAAAAACAAGAAGUUAAACAGAGCAUGCAAUGAAACCCAUGAUUCCAAUGACCACAAGAAUUGACCUCCAAAUACUUAAUAUGUGAAAUCAACCUUGCACCUGGUAUAGUAUCCCUAUCCGUCCCACUGCUCAAACAUCUUGGGUGCAUAGUAGUGGCGGUGGUUUUGGCGGAAGAGCAGCUUUGACCAUAAUUAGGGUUUGUGGAGAAAUAAGGUGUGUAUUUGAUCCAGAAGGAGAUUACUAAUUUGAAUUAGAGUGUGUGAAGAAAUAGAGAGAAUGAAGAAUAAAUUAGAAAAUGAUUGCCUCCAUAAUUUCGUGGUUUUAUAUGGAUCAUAGUAAUUAACAUGAAAAUCUAGGUAAUUUAGUAGCAGAUUUCUUGGAUUGAAGUUGGAAACUUUGAUAUAUGUCGAAUAUGCUCAAAAC